rnacentral:tRNA from 1 species
GGGCCGGUAGUUCAGUCUGGAAGAAUGCCCGCCUCGCAAGCAGAUGCCCCGAGGUCCCGGGUUCGAAUCCCGGCCGGUCCACCA